ACUAAAUUGUUUCAGGUUGAAUUCCACGAUAUUGAUUUCCCAUCCAGUCACUGAACUGUUACCUAAUUCAAUGCAGAUCAUUAAUUCUGAAAUAUUUGUUUUGUGUUUUUGAAAAAGCUGCACCUUGUGUAGAGAUGUACCAUAUAAUUCAUACGUCCUCUAGAUAAAGUUUAUUUCACAGAAUCAAUUGUACAUGUACCGUUUCUCUCCAAUUCUUCAGCUAUACAACGAAAGAUGAAGAUAACGAACAGUUAUCAAUCUCAUAACAAUAAAUUACGUUACAUGUACGUUAUAUCAUAUACAUUGGACAACCAAUGUAAUAAUCGCGUAUUUAAGCUUUCAGAAACAAAAACAAUAAUUCAUUUACUACAUCGUUAUGAACCUGCUUGCAAAUCCUUCAAAACUCUCUAUGUAUAUCAUUAGAUGUGGGUUUUCUCAUUGUCUGGAAUGAUUCUUUCUGUUUUC